rnacentral:rRNA from 1 species
UACGGAGGGGGCAAGCGUUGUUCGGAAUUACUGGGCGUAAAGGGCGCGUAGGCGGGUCUUUAAGUCAGGGGUGAAAUCCUGGAGCUCAACUCCAGAACUGCCUUUGAUACUGAAGAUCUUGAGUUCGGGAGAGGUGAGUGGAACUGCGAGUGUAGAGGUGAAAUUCGUAGAUAUUCGCAAGAACACCAGUGGCGAAGGCGGCUCACUGGCCCGGUACUGACGCUGAGGUGCGAAAGCGUGGGGAGCAAACAGG